CGGUCAACAAAGGGAUGCGAAGCCGCGAGGCAGAGCGAACCCAAAAAGCCGUCCCAGUUCGGAUCGCAGGCUGCAACCCGCCUGCGUGAAGUCGGAAUCGCUAGUAAUCGCGGAUCAGCAUGCCGCGGUGAAUACGUUCCCGGGUCUUGUACACACCGCCCGUCACACCAUGGGAGUCGGAAAUGCCCGAAGCCGGUGACCCAACCAAAAGGAGGGAGCCGUCGAAGGCAGGUCUGAUAACUGGGGUGAAGUCGUAACAAGGUACC
rnacentral:rRNA from 1 species